CCUACGGGGUGCAGCAGUGAGGAAUAUUGGUCAAUGGUCGGGAGACUGAACCAGCCAAGCCGCGUGAGGGAUGAAGGUACAGAGUAUCGUAAACCUCUUUUGUCAGGGAACAAAGGCGGGGACGUGUCCCCGGAUGAGUGUACCUGAAGAAAAAGCAUCGGCUAACUCCGUGCCAGCAGCCGCGGUAAUACGGAGGAUGCGAGCGUUAUCCGGAUUUAUUGGGGUUAAAGGGUGGGCAGGGGGUCUGUUAAGUCAGCGGUGAAAGCCCGGGGUUCAACCCCGGCCCGCCGUUGAAACUGGCAGUCUCGAGUUGGAGAGAAGUAUGCGGAAUGCGCGGUGUAGCGGUGAAAUGCAUAGAUAUCGCGCAGAACUCCGAUUGCGAAGGCAGCAUGCCGGCUCCACACUGACGCUGAGGCACGAAAGCGUGGGUAUCGAACAGGAUUAGAUACCCUUGUAGUC
rnacentral:rRNA from 1 species